AAUAAACUAGUUUUCUAGGUGGUAUAUGGGAUGCUCUAAUCUGAUAUACAUCAUGGUGAACAGGGACUCCAAGAGCCUGAAAAACAAAUUCUUGAAAAUUAAUGGAUGGAAAAUGAAGAAGAAGGUUGAAAAGGGUUUGAACUUAAUACUGGAAGGAUUCCAUUCCAAAAUAAGGAAGCUUAAAUAAGAUGAUAAAAACAGAGGAAAAAAGAGAACUUGAAGUGUUCAUACCUACACAUAGAAAGUUUCACAAGGGCUAGAUAUGAAUCCAAAAACAGAGGAAAAAAGAGAACUUGAAGUGUUCAUACCUACACAUAGAAAGUUUCACAAGGGCUAGAUAUGAAUCCAGAGCAAGGUUCUAAAUGGCGUGAGGCGUGGCGUGGCGGCAAGGCCAAGCCUCAAGCUNCUAUAUACAUGAGUUUCUUUUUGACUUCAACAGAAAAAACAAAAAAAAACAAAAAAAAAAAACAACUGAACUUAAUACAAAAAGUAAAGGAAAUGAGGCUUUCCCCAUUUAAUGGCUAUCUUGGCUUUAAUUCCUUGAUGGGUCAAUAAACCAGUUUUCUAGGUGGUAUAUGGGAUGCUCUAAUCUGAUAUACAUCAUGGUGAACAGGGACUCCAAGAGCCUGAAAAACAAAUUCUUAAAAAUUAAUGGAUGGAAAAUGAAGAAGAAGGUUGAAAAGGGUUUGAACUUAAUACUGGAAGGAUUCCAUUCCAAAAUAAGGAAGCUUCAAUAAGAUGAUAAAAACAGAGGAAAAAAGAGAACUUGAAGUGUUCAUACCUACACAGAGAAAGUUUCACAAGGGCUAGAUAUGAAUCCAGUGAGCUUUGGAACAACGAGUUUCCCCCAAUAAAUCAAGGAAGCUUGAUAUAAUUUCUGAAUCGUUCUGUUUGUGUCUCUUAUGCAACCACUCUUCCUGUAUCCUAAUGUUAACAUCCCUGCAAUACAAAUAAUUUCAAAGCAUUAAAAACCACAGGUAUUGCAGAAGCAGGUGAAUUUUCUUUAUAAGUUUUAAGGCAGUUUUCAUGCCAAAACCAGGCACCAGAUGUUGAAUUCCAGGAACACCAUCUGCUUCAUCACCCAAAAUGCAUCCUAUAAACAAGAUAUUUUUGUAAGAAAUACCCUCUUUAAAAUAGUUUCAUGAACAACAACUCAAUCUUUUCAUGAGUCACAUCAUCAAGAGAAAGUGUAUACUUACUAAGUCUUAAAUUAGAGAGUGGAUCACACUUGUUGAAUGGAUAUAGUACUACAGCAGCCUAGCGAGAUUGUUGAAUGGAUAUAAUACUACAGCAGCCUAGCGAGAUUCCAUUAAUAAUGAAAUGAGCUCAAUAUUCAUAAGGGUGCAUAAACUAUUGCUGAAAUCAACUAAAACAUAUGGAUAAAAUACUACAAUAGCUUAGCAAUCAACUGAAGAUUACAGUGCACUUCUUCUACUUCUCUGCCAGAAAAAAGAGCUAUAUUUGAUAAGAUUGCUUCCAAAAAGUCUUUCAGAUACCUUAAAAUCCAAAGAUUUUGACUUAAAUCACUGAGUUAUCUAAAACGACCAAACUC
rnacentral:lncRNA from 1 species